GCUAGACCUGUACAGCAAAGCAGAAGAAAACAAAGCUCUGCUCUUACUGGAUGAGUUUCUAUGUGAAGCCUUUAAAUCCUGGAGACCAUUUAGCAAAAAUUAGCUUAAAAGGACAGUAAUUUUUCAAUAAAAUGUUUUCAAUUAUUUUAGUUAUUUUAGUUUAAUGUUUCUAUGAAAGUAAAUCAUCUGUGAGAGUAAAUGAAGAAAAGAGAGGAGAAGAGAGAAUUAGAAAGUAGAAGAGGGGUGAAGAAAAGCGAAGAGCAGAGAAAGAGCAGAGCAGAGCAGAGCAGAGCAGAGCAGAGCAGAGCAGAGCAGAGCAGAGCAGAGAAGAGAAGAGAAGAGAAGAGAAGAGAAGAGAAGAGAAGAGAAGAGAAGAGAAGAGAAGAGAAGAGAAGAGAAGAGAAGAGAAGAGAAGAGAAGAGAAGAGAACUCACUGGUGAUAUUGAGAUCUUCUAUCCUUCAAAGGGAUGAGACUACAUCCUCUGGCAAAUCCUGCAUGAUAUUCUAGCUGCCAGAAGAUCAGGUUUGCAACAGCUCCUCUUCAGUUCUGGAGAACAUAGUUGAAGCAGUGUUGCUUUUGCCUGAUGGUGGACCAUGUACUGAAAGACAAAGAUCAUGUGUCUGUGACAUUGAAACUAGAUGAUCAUUAUUGUCCUUUUCAACUCAGGCCAUUCUAUGAUUCUGUGACAUCCUAAAAACAUGAUAUUCUGUGACUCUAGAAGUCCCAACUCCUCAUUUUCUGUUGAUGCCACCUGCAAGGACAUGCUAGAAAUGAGGAGAAGUGGUGAGCCCAUGGAAAUCUCUGAUGUUCACAUGUGAAGUAUCUCUUCACCAGACUACAGGGGACUGAGGAAGACAAGGUGGAAGACAGCAAAAUUCACGGUGGGAGGAAGGCAACCUUGAUCCCAAAGGCUAUUUAAAUAGUAACAUAAUGAAGUGAUAAUUUAUGGCUCAGUUCUACUCUACCUCGCACCUUGUGUGGUCCUCUGCUGUCAGACACUCUCUGAGCUGAGUUCCCCACUCUCCCUGUUAACAGCUUCCCAGUGUGUGAGAGCACAUAUUUAUUGUGGGGGAAAUUGCCUUUCAACUGACUGGCUCCAGGUCCUCCAAGGCUGCCCAGGGAAGAGGUGGAGUCACCAUCUCUGGAGGUGUUCAAGGAAUGCAGAGAUGCGGCACUGAGGGACAUGAGGUGCUAAGGAGCUUUCCAAGCUGUAGUGAAGAAAGGCAAGCAGAAGUGAUGCUCUCAAGGUUUUGAGGCUUCAAAGAUCAACUCUGCCCUCAGACGUUCCCAAGAAACCAAGGUGAACCCAGCCAAACCAAGAGCUGCCACCAAGACUGAGAAGAAGCCUUCAGUUCAGAAAUGGGAAAUACUCUCCUCAAAAGGCAAGUGGGGAAGCUCAGCCUGCCAGAUGGCAGAACCCCCUUAACCGCUCACCCCGAGCCAAAAUUUGCAACAGCAGUGUUUGCAAAUGAGAGGCCCCUGGUCUCAAAUGCGUGUGAACUCCAUGUGCAAUUGUGCCACUGAAUUUUGUGGGGGUCAGUGGCAGUCGAACUCAUGUAAUAAAGGCUAGAAACUGGCUCUGAAACUCAGUCCUCCCUCUGCUGUGCUCUCAGAUAUCUGGCCAGACACCACUGCUUUCUUGUGCUACAUCCAUGCAAAAAUAUUUUGGACAAGAUGGAAAUGACUAUUGUCAGAGGCAAGGGCUAAUCUGUGAAGGAAAGUGUCAAAAAAUCCCCAGCACAGAGCAUGGGGAAUACACAUAGUCCUUAUAGUUUUGAAAGAGAUGUACAGACUCUGCAGUCAACAGUUCAUGGGCUCCAUCACUUUGAAUGAUUGAUAGACUGGUUGGCUAAGGAAAGCCUGGAUCAGGGCUCAGAUCCACACCUCUCAGUGUAUUGCAAGACCCAUGCUCAGGGCAGAUCUCCCUGGAAUUCACCAUACCAAUGGAGAUUUUAUAUUCAUUUGACAGUUUUUGUCUUUCUCUGGUUGCACGAAGGGCACUCAUGUCAUGGAUCUGCAGAUGAUCAAGUGAAAAUGAAAGUUCAUGUUGCAACUCACACCAUUUGCUCUGCUGGUGGAGUCACCCAGCGGCAGCAGGUCUGGGAGCCUGGCAUCCUGCAUAGAAAUCAGUGAAGGUCACCAGGGUAGCGUCACCUUCAGGUCUUAGGACUUUUUGGUUAAAAACAGCUUAAAGCCACUGUUGACCUGUGCUGUGUUUGAGUCAGUGACCAAGAGAUGAAAGACUUUCUAUCCUAUUUCUAGUCCUUUGACUUGCUCUGCUGUAACAAUAAAUAUCCCCCAAAUAUCUUGGAACUCCCAGAAAUAUAGCCUUAAAAUAAACUUAUAUCACAGGCUAGUAAUUACUGAAUGUUUUGCAUUGUUUCUCCUCUGGGAGAUAUAUAUCCCUCAGGAAAUGAGUUUCUAAUUGGGCAGAAUAGGAGAAACAGGGCAGCAACAACAGUGUGGGAAAGCUGAAUUAAUAAAAGCUUCUAGAUACCCUCUGGCCACCCUGCACAGAGAAAUGACAAAUGACAUACCUGGAUGAGGGCAUUUUAACUUUGGGACUCCUUGGGAGGUGCCUGAACCAGGAAGAGAGGAAGAGAGGAUAGAAGCAAAAAUGCUAUUAGAGACCUGGUAAAAAUUUACAUGAAGUGGUGCACAGCGAUGCUUACAAAAAAAAACCAAACCAGAACAACAAAAAACCCUUGACCAUGUUACUGACAGUACCUGUGAAGAAACUCAGCUACUAAUUUUUUUGCUUAGAUUAAGAAAAUACAUAUACCCAUCCUCUUUCCUGAGGUGCUAACGAGCUUAUUUCAGGUCCAACAUUCCUUUUAUGUACAGAGUACUGGGAGUCUGGAUCCUGUUGACAGUGCCUACCCAUUCAUAGAAAGGUUGGGCUGAGCCAUUCUCAAGCACUCUAUGGCACAAAGAGACCAACACCAAUGAGGCUGCAGGGAGCCUUUUGGAUGUGAAUUCGUGUGAUGGUUCAUCAUUCCAACUGCAGUCCCUAUGUU
ensembl:lncRNA